rnacentral:lncRNA from 1 species
ACUCUAUCAAUUUCCUGGAGUUCUCAGCACCAGCCAUGGUGUCUCUCUUCUCAGUGUCUUAUUUCAGCCUGCAUCUGUGUUUACAGGAUUACCCUCACCCUCCUCAACUCUCUAACUCCUGCUUGCUUCAUUUACCACUUCCUCGAGGAAACCUUCUGUCACCUUUCCAGGAGCUGAGAUCUGCCGCUGCUGAGGACUGGGCACUGAAGUUCAGCCACAGUCCAACACGUGAGGUGACUCCUAGGUCAGAAGGAAGCAGAAGGGAUGAGGCUGCAGGUCCCAAGGAUCUCCCCGUGAGGUGACAAUCUGGGUGAUAUAACAAGCAAUGGUGAGAUAAAAGGUCACAGGGAUGCAGGACACAGUGUGAACCACUCUCUCUCUCUGCUAUGUGGAAAAGCUUUCACUUUCACUUUCCCAAGAGAAGAGGGAAUUGUCACAUCCUUCUUUCCAAGUUGAUGUUUCUCUAAUUCUUUGCCCCAUCCUGUUGUAUGUUUUGUGUAUCUUAUCCCCAAAACUAUUCCCACAGCAGCAUGUUUAGCUAGUGACUGAGCCCAGUGGGGACAAUAAUGUAUCAGCUGCUUUAUUAGAAAAAGGAAGAGUGGGGGGCUGGCAACCAGUUUCCAUUUGGGAGGACUCUGUCAUGGUGAGUAGACAGGACGAUGACUCAGCAGUUAUAUGAUUUUCAGGUUCUGUAUCCUGAAAUUGUCUGAACAUGCAGUAACACAUAGAUGAGGGCUUACUGACAGAUGCGUAGCUUGCACGUACAGUUUCUUUUCUUCCCAGAACUUGUCUAAACAUUGGAGUCAUUUGUUGCCUUGGGCCUCACUGCCUGAAGCAUCUCUCUUCCCUCUGAGUUCCUGACUCCAGCUCCGUCUGGCUGCAGAGCAAUCUCAGGUCUGUGUCCUUAGGUGUUUGAUUCCAGCCGAGACCUGGCAGAACUUCCUGCCUUCCAGAACCAGCUAUGUCAAAUACACAUCGCG